GCCUGGGUGGCUCAGUCAGUUAAGCAUCUGCCUUUGGCUCAGGUCAUGUGGGAUCGAGCCCCACGUCAGGCU
rnacentral:tRNA from 1 species